UGGGCCGUUAGCUCAGUUGGUAGAGCAGUAGACUUUUAAUCUAUUGGUCGAUGGUUCGAUUCCAUCACGGCCCACCAG
rnacentral:tRNA from 1 species